UAGCCCUUAAAAUGGGAGGCGCUAUAGCGUCGUGCCUAUACCGGGCCGUCGGUCGGCAGUGCGAUAACGGACUCUAGCCCGCAGAGGGCGCAAAAGAGCCGCUGAGGCCCCGACGAGUAGGGGGGUCGCGACGGUGAGCGUGGAAGGGUUGUGGGCGCGAGCCUGCCCGGAGCCGCCGUCGGUGCAGAUCUUGGUGGUAGUAGCAAAUACUCCAGAGGGAUCCUGGAGGACUGACGCGGAGAAGGGUUUCAUGUGAACAGUGGUUGGACAUGAGUCAGUCGAUCCUAAGCCGCAGGAGAAAUCCGACCUAGUGACGGGCGUGAGUUGUAUCGAUGCGAUCGGUUCGUAUAUAUAUAAAGCUUUUUGCGAAGGUUCCGUUUCUUUUUGUGUGCGGCGUCUGCGCGUUUUUUAAUCUCUUGCUUUUUUUUAGUACCGCUUCUUCGCGCGCCGGGCGGCAGUCGAAAUCCGCUUGGCCGCGUGUCGCGAGAAAAAAAACGAAAGAGAGAGAGAGAGAGAGAGGCGCGGGCGCUGUGCGGGCGAGAGAGCGGGUAAAGAUCUUCGCAGGGCCGAAAAAAUACACCGAGAGCUGUGUAUAUCAAAAACAAGAGGCGCUACCAGGUUAAGGCGAAAGGGAAUNCGGUCCUGAUUCCGGAACCAGGCUGCGGCUACGUCCGAAACUGAACGACCUCAACCCUCGUUUGUCUCGGUCGCGGUAACGCGACACAAACCGAAGAAGCUGCCGAGAACCCCGGGAAGAGUUUUNUUUUNUGCUUGAGGGACCGAACCC
rnacentral:rRNA from 1 species